rnacentral:rRNA from 1 species
GAUGAACGCUGGCGGCGUGCCUAAUACAUGCAAGUCGAGCGAACAGACGAGGAGCUUGCUCCUCUGACGUUAGCGGCGGACGGGUGAGUAACACGUGGAUAACCUACCUAUAAGACUGGGAUAACUUCGGGAAACCGGAGCUAAUACCGGAUAAUAUAUUGAACCGCAUGGUUCAAUAGUGAAAGACGGUUUUGCUGUCACUUAUAGAUGGAUCCGCGCCGCAUUAGCUAGUUGGUAAGGUAACGGCUUACCAAGGCAACGAUGCGUAGCCGACCUGAGAGGGUGAUCGGCCACACUGAAACUGAGACACGGUCCAGACUCCUACGGGAGGCAGCAGUAGGGAAUCUUCCGCAAUGGGCGAAAGCCUGACGGAGCAACGCCGCGUGAGUGAUGAAGGUCUUCGGAUCGUAAAACUCUGUUAUUAGGGAAGAACAAAUGUGUAAGUAACUAUGCACGUCUUGACGGUACCUAAUCAGAAAGCCACGGCUAACUACG